rnacentral:rRNA from 1 species
CCCGGUGAUAUUUAAACGGCCGCAGUUAGGAGCUGUGCUAAGGUAGCGUAAUAAGUUGUCCUUUAAAUGGGGAAAGGAAUGAAUGGUUUGACGUGAGGGAAGCUGUCUUGGCUGAAGAGGAAAAACUUUUCUUUUUGGUGAAAAGCCCAAAAUAUAAAUAAAAGACGAGAAGACCCUUUCGAGCUUGAAUAAGUUGGAAUAAAUUUGUCCUGCAAAAGUUUAGUUGGGGCAACUUAGGAGUAAGGCUAAACUCCUUGAAGAUUAUAGGGAGCCAAAAGUUUUGAAUAAAGAAAAAGCUACCGUAGGGAUAACAGCGUUAUCUUUUCUGAGAGAACAUAUUGAAGAAAAG